UACGGAGGAUGCGAGCGUUAUCCGGAUUUAUUGGGUUUAAAGGGUGCGUAGGCGGUAUUUUAAGUUAGUGGUAAAACGUCGGGGCUUCACCUUGAUUGGCCAUUAAAGCUGGAGUACUAGAGUACAGACGAGGUAGGCGGAAUAAGUUAAGUAGCGGUGAAAUGCUUAGAUAUAACUUAGAACCCCGAUAGCGAAGGCAGCUUACCAGACUGUUACUGACGCUGAAGCACGAGAGCGUGGGUAGCGAACAGG
rnacentral:rRNA from 1 species